rnacentral:rRNA from 1 species
AUUGAACGCUGGCGGCAGGCUUAACACAUGCAAGUCGAGCGGAGAUGAGGUGCUUGCACCUUAUCUUAGCGGCGGACGGGUGAGUAAUGCUUAGGAAUCUGCCAUUUAGUGGGGGACAACAUUCCGAAAGGAAUGCUAAUACCGCAUACGUCCUACGGGAGAAAGCAGGGGAUCUUCGGACCUUGCGCUAAAUGAUGAGCCUAAGUCGGAUUAGCUAGUUGGUGGGUAAAGGCCUACCAAGGCGACGAUCCGUAACUGGUCUGAGAGGAUGAUCAGUCACACUGGAACUGAGACACGGUCCAGACUCCUACGGGAGGCAGCAGUGGGGAAUAUUGGACAAUGGGCGAAAGCCUGAUCCAGCCAUGCCGCGUGUGUGAAGAAGGUCUUCGGAUUGUAAAGCACUUUAAGUUGGGAGGAAGGGCAGUAACCUAAUACGUUAUUGUUUUGACGUUACCGACAGAAUAAGCACCGGCUAACUUCGUGCCAGCAGCCG